rnacentral:rRNA from 1 species
UACGUAGGGGGCAAGCGUUGUCCGGAAUCAUUGGGCGUAAAGAGCGUGUAGGCGGUCCGUUAAGUCGGCUGUGAAAGUCCAAGGCUCAACCUUGGAAAGCCGGUGGAUACUGUGAGGCUAGAGUACGGAAGAGGCGAGUGGAAUUCCUGGUGUAGCGGUGGAAUGCGCAGAUAUCAGGAGGAACACCAAUAGCGAAGGCAGCUCGCUGGGACGUUACUGACACUGAGGCGCGAAAGCGUGGGGAGCGAACAGG